rnacentral:rRNA from 1 species
UCGGGAAUUUUGGGCAAUGGGCGAAAGCCUGACCCAGCAACGCCGCGUGAGGGAUGAAGUAUUUCGGUAUGUAAACCUCGAAAGAAUGGGAAGAAUAAAUGACGGUACCAUUUAUAAGCUCCGGCUAACUACGUGCCAGCAGCCGCGGUAAUACGUAGGGAGCAAGCGUUGUUCGGAUUUACUGGGCGUAAAGGGUGCGUAGGCGGCGCGGUAAGUCACUUGUGAAAUCUCUGAGCUUAACUCAGAACGGCCAAGUGAUACUGCUGUGCUAGAGUGCGGAAGAGGCAACCGGAAUUCUUGGUGUAGCGGUGAAAUGCGUAGAUAUCAAGAGGAACACCUGAGGCGAAGGCGGGUUGCUGGGCCGACACUGACGCUGAUGCGCGAAAGCCAGGGGAGCAAACG